CUUCUGUAGAACAGACCUCAGGAUCUCUCUCUCUCACACGGAUCGCAAUUCCUGCAACGGACACGCUGGUGUAAAAGAGCCCUUAAGGUGUUCAAUGAUGGCAAGAUACCCAAGUCAGGCAGCAGAGCACAGGCGUCAAGAACUUUCUUGUAUAGAUUCUCCUUGAGCUCUCUGCCAAACAUGAUGUUGUCUUUCAGAGAGGCAUUCUGGAUCCACGCUUGUUGAGGAACGUAUGCUAUGCCACCCUACCAAAACAGAAAAAUGCAGACAGCAAGGAAGACUUUCCACAGCCCACCUGGCCAACAACCGCAACCAGCGAGCCAUCGGGAAUGGUAAUAUUUAUCCUGUAUUAAGAAAUUUCGCUUUAUA